AAUAUCUUAAUAAUUUCUUAACGAUUUGUAGUUGCUAAAAAUAUAUCGUUUUAUACAACGUAGCACAUACGGGCGACGGACAAACGUAUGAUUUUGUUGGAA